rnacentral:lncRNA from 1 species
AAGUAAGAGAUGGGAUGGGAAAGAAAGAGAAGGGAAGAACAACAGAGACAAAAGCUCUGGAGCAAACCUCCAAGGCUGCACUGGUCCUGGGCCACCUCAGCCCCCAUCUCCAUCCCACCCACUGGCCCACAUCCUCCACCUGUGAGUGGUGCAUUGCGGCUUAGCUGUUCCAGACCCCCUGGCUGGGCUGGGCUCCAAGCUCUGCUGCUUUGUCAGGGUAUCAUUAUCCCCAUUCUGCAGCUCUUGUCACCUGGAGGCUCUUUCUUCUUCUCUGGCCCACACACCAACACACAGGUGCCUCCUGCCUGGCUUUCAGCUCCUCCUACCUGCCACCUUCUUUCAGGGCCCUUUCCAUUGCCACAUAGUCAGUGGCUCUGCCCCUAAGGGUGCCAUCCCAGCCCAGGACCAUUUUCCCUCCUCUUCUCUUCCUCACUGAGUUCUCCACCCUUUGUCUAGAGAGAGCCAAAGCCUCUGCUCUAAAGGGUUUCUUUUUUCUCCCUGGGAGGAAAAAGGUGAAAAAGGUAUCCAGGGUGCUGGGCAGAUCCAGAUAACUGAUCACUCCAUGAGAACCAAGCACUCACCUGUGUCUGGUCUGCAAUGCAUCCACAUUCUUCUCCACAGCUCAGAGUGGAAGCUCCUUUUCUAGUUAUCCCACACUCAGGGCUUCUGAAACUCACCACUUUCCCUGAGUCCCUUGUCAAUACCUAGUUUUGCAAAUUCCACCUGGGUUUCAGGAGAUCGCAAAAGCUUUGAGAUCUGCCUGCAACUCGCUGUGAAAACCUUGGACAAAUCCCUUCCCUGCGGACUCCUGGGUUGUACUACAGUGAAGAGGUUGAAUUAGAUCAAAGAGGUAAAUCCUAGCACACAUGCCACCAUUUCUCAUCCAAUGCCCAUGGCAGACAUUGCUAAUCAACUACGGCACUCUCUUUUCAGGAUGCAUUCCAGGAAGCUGCUAGUCAUCAUUCAACAUUAGCUCAUGACAUGAAACAUCUUUGCCACUCCUGGACUAGCUGAUCUCUGAAGGCCCUUCUCUCAUUGACAGCAAGGAUUGUGUGGCCUGGUUGAAUCAAUAUUACUUCUCCCUAGUUCCCACUUUUCCCUCCAGCUCAUUCUUUUGAUCAUCCCCAUCCCUCCCUCUCUCUCAUCUUGCCUUGUUUCCAAGUCUCUGCCGCUGAGUCCAUGUAAACCCUAGAUGAUGUCUGGGUCUCCAAGGUUCUGUUUACUGUCACUCAACUUCAGGCUCUUUGAAGGUUACAUUUUCCAGGCAGUCACACUUACACAUGUUGGGCGGUUCCGUGGCAUUGGCUCAGGGGAGGGAGGCAGUGAUCGAGACAUCAGAGACAGUCAGAGGAGGAGCAGGAGGAAUAAGACCAAAGAAAUAUUAAGAAAGAGAUAACAGGAUAGACAGACAGUGGGGCUAGAGUUAAAUUUAUGUAUCAAGGCCAUCCUGGUAAGAACAGGGAGCAGGAGUUUUAAUGGAAUUUAUCCUGGACCCCCAAGGUCACAGUGGGAGGGAGGAUCAGGGAGGACCUAAAAGCAAAGGACAAAGGGAGCAUAUAAAUUAGUAGCUCAACUGACAAACGUGAAAGAGGUGAAGGGAUUCUUUGGUGGGGGAAACUAUCAGGAGUUGCCAUAAUAAGAUGGACUUAACCAUGCUUCACGAGUGUAAAAGCAUCCACCCCUUGGCCCCUGCAGGUCAGAUACUAAAUUCUGUUUCAUCCAGGAUCUGUAAUGGCAGAUUCUGGAGGGGCCCUAACCUGCCCCGCCUGCCCAAGAGGACUAGGAACCCCAGAACCCACUGGGAAAAUAGCGGGCUGAGACCUGUCCUGAAACUGGGAGGGGGGUUGGGGGCAGCUAUAGAACAGGUGGAAGAUUAAGCUGGACAGAUGGGCUGACUGAUGAAGCCCACAUCUCCCCAAUAUUACUCCAGGGGAUGGGGUUGGAGGGGAAGGGGUUUGGCCCAGCAGGAUGGAAACUCCCCUCCAUUUUUUUCUUUUUUCUUGAGACCGAGAUUCAAUCUUGUUGCCCAGACAGGAGUGCAAUGGUGUGAUCUCGGCUCACCGCAACUUCCGCCUCCCAGGUUCAAGCGAUUCUCCUGCCUCAGCCUCCCGAGUAGCUGGGAUUACUGGCAUGCGCCACCAUGCUCGGCUAAUUUUUUUGUUUGUUUGUUUGUUUGUUUUGAGACGGAGUCUCGCUCUGUCACCCAGGCUGGAGUGCAGUGGCGCAAUCUCGG